UACAGAGGUCUCAAGCGUUGUUCGGAAUUACUGGGCGUAAAGGGCGCGUAGGCGGCCUUCUAAGUCGGACGUGAAAUCCCCAGGCUUAACUUGGGAACUGCGUCCGAUACUGGAGGGCUUGAGUGCGGGAGAGGGAUGUGGAAUUCCAGGUGUAGCGGUGAAAUGCGUAGAUAUCUGGAGGAACACCGGUGGCGAAGGCGGCAUCCUGGACCGACACUGACGCUGAUGCGCGAAAGCCAGGGGAGCAAACGGGG
rnacentral:rRNA from 1 species